rnacentral:rRNA from 1 species
UACAGAGGGAGCGAGCGUUCAUCGGAAUUACUGGGCGUAAAGCGCACGUAGGUGGCGACGUAAGUCGGGUGUGAAAGCCCCUGGCUCAACCUGGGAGGUGCAUUCGAGACUGCAUUGCUGGAGUACGGAAGAGGGGGGCGGAAUUCCCGGUGUAGCGGUGAAAUGCGUAGAUAUCGGGAGGAACAUCGGUGGCGAAGACGGCCCUCUGGUCCAGUACUGACACUCAAGUUCGAAAGCGUGGGGAGCGAACAGG